CCAGUCACAGAUUUAGCCUGGACCUUAAAAUAUUGAAUUUUUAGGCUUUAUCCAUGGUUGGAA
ensembl:miRNA